rnacentral:rRNA from 1 species
UGCAAGUCGAACGAUGAACCUCUUUCGGGAGGGGAUUAGUGGCGAACGGGUGAGUAACACGUGGGCAAUCUGCCCUGCACUCUGGGACAAGCCCUGGAAACGGGGUCUAAUACCGGAUAUGACCAUUGGGGGCAUCCCUGGUGGUGGAAAGCUCCGGCGGUGCAGGAUGAGCCCGCGGCCUAUCAGCUUGUUGGUGGGGUGAUGGCCUACCAAGGCGACGACGGGUAGCCGGCCUGAGAGGGCGACCGGCCACACUGGGACUGAGACACGGCCCAGACUCCUACGGGAGGCAGCAGUGGGGAAUAUUGCACAAUGGGCGAAAGCCUGAUGCAGCGACGCCGCGUGAGGGAUGACGGCCUUCGGGUUGUAAACCUCUUUCAGCAGGGAAGAAGCGUGAGUGACGGUACCUGCAGAAGAAGCGCCGGCUAACUACGUGCCAGCAGCCGCGGUAAUACGUAGGGCGCGAGCGUUGUCCGGAAUUAUUGGGCGUAAAGAGCUCGUAGGCGGCUUGUCGCGUCGGUUGUGAAAGCCCGGGGCUUAACCCCGGGUCUGCAGUCGAUACGGGCAGGCUAGAGUUCGGUAGGGGAGAUCGGAAUUCCUGGUGUAGCGGUGAAAUGCGCAGAUAUCAGGAGGAACACCGGUGGCGAAGGCGGAUCUCUGGGCCGAUACUGACGCUGAGGAGCGAAAGCGUGGGGAGCGAACAGGAUUAGAUACCCUGGUAGUCCACGCCGUAAACGUUGGGCACUAGGGUGUGGGCGACAUUCCACGUCGUCCGUGCCGCAGCUAACGCAUUAAGUGCCCGCCUGGGGGAGUACGGCCGCAAGGCUAAAACUCAAAGGAAUUUGACGGGGGCCCGCACAAGCGGCGGAGCAUGUGGGCUUAAUUCGACGCAACGCGAAGAACCUUACCAAGGCUUGACAUACACCGGAAA